AGAUUGAACGCUAGCGGGAUGCUUUACACAUGCAAGUCGAACGGCAGCGCGGACUUCGGUCUGGCGGCGAGUGGCGAACGGGUGAGUAAUAUAUCGGAACGUGCCCAGUAGCGGGGGAUAACUACGCGAAAGCGUGGCUAAUACCGCAUACGCCCUACGGGGGAAAGGGGGGAUUCUUCGGAACCUCUCACUAUUGGAGCGGCCGAUAUCAGAUUAGCUAGUUGGUGAGGUAAAGGCUCACCAAGGCGACGAUCUGUAGCUGGUUUGAGAGGACGACCAGCCACACUGGGACUGAGACACGGCCCAGACUCCUACGGGAGGCAGCAGUGGGGAAUUUUGGACAAUGGGGG
rnacentral:rRNA from 1 species